rnacentral:rRNA from 1 species
UACGAAGGGAGCUAGCGUUGUUCGGAAUCACUGAGCGUAAAGCGCACGUAGGCGGAUUUGUCAGUCAGGGGUGAAAUCCCGGGCCUCAACCUCGGAACUGCCUUUGAUACAACAAGUCCCUAGUCCGGAAGAGGUGGGUGGAACUCCUAGUGUAUAGGUGAAAUUCGCAGAUAUUAGGAAGAACACCGGUGGCGAAGGCGGCCCGCUGGUCCUGUACUGCCGCUGAGGUGCGAACGCGUGGGGAGCAAACAGG